rnacentral:rRNA from 1 species
AGUGAACGCUGGCGGUAGGCCUAACACAUGCAAGUCGAACGGCAGCACAGUAAGAGCUUGCUCUUACGGGUGGCGAGUGGCGGACGGGUGAGGAAUACAUCGGAAUCUACUUUUUCGUGGGGGAUAACGUAGGGAAACUUACGCUAAUACCGCAUACGACCUACGGGUGAAAGCAGGGGAUCUUCGGACCUUGCGCGAUUGAAUGAGCCGAUGUCGGGUUAGCUAGUUGGCGGGGUAAAGGCCCACCAAGGCGACGAUCCGUAGCUGGUCUGAGGGGAUGAUGAGCCACACUGGAACUGAGACAGGGUCCAGACUCGUACGGGAGGCAGCAGUGGGGAAUAUUGGACAAUGGGCGCAAGGGUGAUCCAGCCAUACCGCGUGGGUGAAGAAGGCCUUCGGGUUGUAAAGCCCUUUUGUUGGGAAAGAAAUCCAGCUGGUUAAUACCCGGUUGGGAUGACGGUACCCAAAGAAUAAGCACCGGCUAACUUCGUGCCAGCCGCCGCCGUAAAAC